rnacentral:lncRNA from 1 species
UCGUUUCAGAAUUAGAAGUUUAUUCUUGCUUCUUAUCCUUCAAAGCAGGGAGAUAAGUCUUGCAGUUUCUUCUCUAAUGUACUUCCUUCCCAUAAUGGUGACACUUUCCUUUAUCCUUGUUGACACCUCCAAUAGCCUUUAAGGCUUUUUUAAGCUCAUGGGCUUUCUUUCUCUUUUUCUUAUUAUAUUUACUCUUAGCAGCCUUAGAAUGUUCUACCACUAGAACUACUCCAUUUUGCUUCUUUAUGGUGCCUCCGCAGUCUUUAACAUAUUAAUAAGUUCCAGUAUCGUAGUAUCCAACUUAUUCAUAUGAAAGUUCAUAACAAACUGCAAAUAACUGUGAGGUAGAGAUUGCAAAAUUAAGUCUAUACUAAAUUCAUGGUCCAUUUCAAAACCAAGACGCUCUAGAUGUUCAAUAUAUCCAAGUAUCUUUAGUCCAUGUGCAUUCACAGAUGCACCUUCAGCCAUCUUGCAUUGGAACAAUUCCUUUGAAGUCUCAUACCUUUCAGUCCUUAAUUACUCAUCAAACAUGUCUUUCAAAUGUAACAUGAUAGUUUGAGCAUCCAUAUUUCACGUUGUCUUUAUAGUUCGAAAGUCAUACUUCCU